UUGCGGCUCGUGAACAUCGACACAAGAAACACGGGAGUGGUUCCUUUCCUGAUUCACGCAUGCCACGCAUGCCAGGGGGCGCCCGUGAUUUUUACUGUGACUAAAGAAGUGCGAUCAAAGCAGUCGCAUCGACUUGAAUUAGCAAGCAUGGGAUAACAAAGGAGCAGCCAUUAGGCUACCGUUUCGGCUUUUGUUGGUUUUAAACGUCUAUUGGAGAUUAUGGAGGCUGUGCGACAAGUGCCACGUGCCGCGUUUUCACACAGGCACCGGCGCCUUCCCGCGCGUUUCGCCCGCGUCACACACGGAGCCUCGGCUCCGGGCGCG
rnacentral:rRNA from 1 species